GACCACGUAGCGCAGUUGGCAGAGCAUUGGGCUAGUAUUCCAAAGGUCGUAGGUUCGAUUCCCACCGUGGCCA